rnacentral:rRNA from 1 species
AUUGAACGCUGGCGGCAGGCUUAACACAUGCAAGUCGAGCGGGGUGAUGGUGCUUGCACUAUCACUUAGCGGCGGACGGGUGAGUAAUGCUUAGGAAUCUGCCUAUUAGUGGGGGACAACAUCUCGAAAGGGAUGCUAAUACCGCAUACGUCCCACGGGAGAAAGCAGGGGAUCACUUGUGACCUUGCGCUAAUAGAUGAGCCUAAGUCGGAUUAGCUAGUUGGUGGGGUAAAGGCCUACCAAGGCGACGAUCUGUAGCGGGUCUGGGAGUAUGAUCAGCCACACUGGGACUGAGACACGGCCCACACUGCUGCGAGAGGCAGCAGUGUGGAAUAUUGGACAGUGGGGUGAACCCUGAUCCAGCCAUGCCGCGUGUGUGUAGAAUGCCUUAUGGUUGUAAAGCACUUUAAGCGAGGAGGAGGCUCUUUUGGUUAAUACCCUAGAUGAGUGGACGUUACUCGCAGAAUAAGCACCGGCUAACUCUGGGCCAGCCGCCGCCGCUG